rnacentral:rRNA from 1 species
AUGCCCCUGCGCACCGCCGUGGCACAGGCCCCCACCAGGGAUCCUGCUGCGACGCACUUCUCAAAAGCAAGGACAAUGACGAGAUUCUCUCCUUCGGUGUUGGCGUCAUUGCUCUCGGCUACCUACCGCAUCAAGGACAUUCAUAGGCCACGAAUCCAGCGGAUGCUAGCACGUGGGAAGUGGAGCUGCCGCGGUGAGUUACUCCAUCAGAGUGAGGACAACGACACUUCUUGCAGCAAAAAACUGCAGCGUUCUUCAGUAUAUUUCCAUAAAUAUUUGAGGCAAUCGUCUGUAUCCGUUCAACAAAAAAAUUGA